rnacentral:rRNA from 1 species
UAAGACGGAGGGCGCAAGCGUUGUUCGGAAUUACUGGGCGUAAAGGGCAGGUAGGUGGUCUGUUAAGUCUUCUGUGAAAAUCCGGGGCUCAACCCCGCGAAAUGCAGGUGAAACUGGCAGACUUGAGACCGGUAGAGGCUAGCGGAAUUCCUGGUGUAGCGGUGGAAUGCGUAGAUAUCAGGAAGAACACCUGUGGCGAAGGCGGCUAGCUGGGCUGGUUCUGACACUGAACUGCGAAAGCGUGGGGAGCAAACAGGAUUAGAUACCCUGGUAGUCCACGCCGUAAACGAUGGGCACUAGAUGCCGGGCAUAUAGACGUGUUCGGUGUCGGCGCUAACGCAUUAAGUGCCCCGCCUGGGGAGUACGGUCGCAAGGCUG